GACGAACCGAGCGAACGUUAUUCGGAAUCACUUGGGCUUAAAGGGCGCGUAGGCGGGCGAUCAAGUCAGGGGUGAAAGCCCCCAGCUCAACUGGGGAAGUGCCUCUGAUACUGGUCGUCUCGAGGGAGGUAGGGGCGUGCGGAACUUCCGGUGGAGCGGUGAAAUGCGUAGAUAUCGGAAGGAACACCGGUGGCGAAAGCGGCGCGCUGGACCUCUUCUGACGCUGAGGCGCGAAAGCCAGGGGAGCGAACGGG
rnacentral:rRNA from 1 species